rnacentral:misc_RNA from 1 species
AAAUCAAUGAAGCUCUAGCUAGCUAGCUGGCUGGCUUAUAGAUGCAUGUGGGGGUGAAUAUAUAGCUGAGAAGGCGAGCUGGUUCAAAUCUGUUUUAAUUUUUCAGGGAAUCUCCAUUAAACCUGUUGUAAAUGCCCUCAAAGUGAAAAAAGAAGGGGAUAAUGACCCAAAAAUGACAGAGAAAAUUCAAGAAUCUUUCAUUGACCAUAUAAUGGCAGGGAUGGAGGGAAUUACGAAGCAUUCCAGUCACAACCUGAUGCGUAUCAAAUUCCGGCAUUUUAAUCACAACUACCUGAAGCCCCUGUUCAACAAAGAAGUCCCCCAGACAAAGGCAAAGAAGGUGUUGGAGGUGUACCACACAAUCAGUGUCGCGGAAGCUCUUGACCAGAUCGGCAAUUGAAAUCUCUACCUGGCUCUGCCUCAGCUCCCGAUCUGCCAAAACACUUUCAAUUGAUUGAGCCAAUGACGAAAUCCCGCCUCCAUUCCGAGUCCAUGUUGGAGGAUCUGGACUUCCAUGACCAAGCGGUAUCGCGCGUCAACGAAUGGCUGUCGGCCACUAUCAGCGAAGAAGACGGAAUCGUUAUACCGAUCCAUGUCCCCACCCCUGAGCUCUCCAGUGACAAUGACGCGGACUGUAGCAGCGAGGGGGAGGGGGAUGAUGAUGAAGGCUGGGACUUUGAUAGGGAUGACUUAUGAUGACCGCCCUCUUUCUAGUCUACAAUACUCAAUUGUCUUUCCAGAUAUGUUUAUAUGGACACCUAUUGUGUAUUGCUAGUCGAUGUGUGUCUAGUGAUUGAUAACUGUUUUGUUUUAUUUUCUUUUUUAAUCAAAUGGAGGACUUUCAUCAACUCUUUAGAGCAAUACUGCCUCGUACACGUAUACAUUUAUAGAGGAUGAGCGUCGCCCAUCUUUUUAUUCCAUUCAAUUCAUUGAAUAUCAGUCUCUUCAAAGUGACUAUUGAUGAUUAAACAUAUUCAUUAAACAUGAGCUUAUUUGGUAUUAUAGUAAAUGAAAAUGCAGGGAAAUUUCUUUGAAAUUUGCUUUCAUGGUUGAAAUUUCAGUCGAUGAAUUUCUAACAUUAUUGACAUUGGAAUGACAAGCCACAUAUAUUACCUCCUCAAAAAUAUAAUAAUUAAUUUUGAAACUUUGAUCUCAGGUUGUUUGAAGUAUAUUGUUUGAAGUAAAAUUAUCUUGUUAAUAUCUGUGCAUAUUAUCAAUGAUUCAUCAUGUCCACAUUAUAAUAAAAACAGCCUAAAAUCUGGGCUUCUCAUUAACUAUGCUGUCUACAAAAUUCCUUUCUAUGAAAGGACCCUUCAAAAAUAUGUAUACAUUUUUGUUCAUUUCUUGAUAACUGAACAUGAACAUUAUCUCCUUAAUAAUUUUGAGUGAAGAAAUAAGUGCAAUAUUAAACAUCGUCCCGAGGUGAAAAAUGAAGUAUUAAUAUAUAUUUCAAGAUGAAAUUGCAUUUAAUAUUUAUGACAUAUCAUGACAGCAUUUCUGCAUUAAUAUUAUUGAUAUGAAAUUGUGGUGAUGUAUUAAAGUAAAAAAUUGUGUAUGUAUGAUCAAAGGUAGAUGUUCAAGAAUUUCUUCCUAGUAUUAUACAUUGACUGAAGAUUGAAUAAAAAAUAAUAAAU